rnacentral:lncRNA from 1 species
GUUAAAGUUUGAUAUUUUAAAACUUAAUAACAAGAAGCUUAUUAAGUAAAAAAAAAAAUAUGAAAAUAUACCAUCGAUAUAGGCUACUUUCUGCACAUGUUCAUGUUUAACAAUAAAAGGAAUUAAGGAGGAUCUAGAUGGAGGAUUUUCAUCUCUGUAUCUUUUAAUUCUUUAUAAUAUUUUUGUCUAUUAUUCAUAUUCUUUGUAUAUUAUUCUCUAUUCCAUAUAUUUCAGCACCUCGUUAUUCUUUUUUCUUUUUUUAUUUCAGUUCAUUCUUCUCUAUUCGUUAAAUCUUUUGUCCAUUAUUUUUUUAUAGAUUAUAUCGUAG